rnacentral:rRNA from 1 species
CAAGUCGAGGGGUAACAGAGAGAGCUUGCUCUUUGCUGACGACCGGCGCACGGGUGCGUAACGCGUAUACAAUCUACCUUAUACUGGGGUAUAGCCCAGAGAAAUUUGGAUUAAUCCCCCAUAGUACCAUUUAGCAGCAUUGUUUUAUGGUUAAAGGUUACGGUAUAAGAUGAGUAUGCGUCCUAUUAGUUAGUUGGUGAGGUAACGGCUUACCAAGACGACGAUAGGUAGGGGCCCUGAGAGGGGGAUCCCCCACACUGGUACUGAGACACGGACCAGACUCCUACGGGAGGCAGCAGUGAGGAAUAUUGGACAAUGGAGGUAACUCUGAUCCAGCCAUGCCGCGUGCAGGAAGACGGCCCUACGGGUUGUAAACUGCUUUUAUACAGGAAGAAUUGCGAUCACGUGUGAUUGUUUGACGGUACUGUAAGAAUAAGGACCGGCUAACUCCGUGCCAGCAGCCGCGGUAAUACGGAGGGUCCGAGCGUUAUCCGGAAUCAUUGGGUUUAAAGGGUCCGUAGGCGGGUUUAUAAGUCAGUGGUGAAAGUUUGCGGCUCAACCGUAAAAUUGCCAUUGAUACUGUAGAUCUUGAAUUAGUGUGAAGUGGUUAGAAUGUGUAGUGUAGCGGUGAAAUGCAUAGAUAUUACACAGAAUACCAAUUGCGAAGGCAGAUCACUAACACUAUAUUGA